GCGCGGGCGGUUUUGUAAGACAGAGGUGAAAUCCCCGGGCUCCCCUGGGAACUGCCUUUGUGACUGCAAGGCUGGAGUGCGGCAAAGGGGGAUGGAAUUCCGCGUGUACCAUUGAAUGGCGUAAAUAUGCGGAGGAACACCGAUGGGGAAGGCAAUCCCCUGGGCCUGCACUGACGCUCAUGCACGAAAGCGUGGGGAGCAAACAGGAUUAUAUACCCUGGUAGUCCGCACCCUAAACGAUGUCAACUGGUUGUUGGGUCUUCACUGACUCAGUAACGAAGCUAACGCGUGAAGUUGACCGCCUGGGGAGUACGGCCGCAGGGUUGAAACUCAAAGGAAUUGACGGGGACCCCCACAGGCGGGGGAUGAUGUGGUUUAAUUCAAUGCAACGCGGAAAACCUUACCCACCUUUGACAUGGCAGGAAGUUUCCAGAGAUGGAUUCGUGCCCGAAAGGGAACCUGCACACAGGUGCUGCAUGGCUGUCGUCAGCUCGUGUCGUGAGAUGUUGGGUUAAGUCCCGCAGCGAGCGCAACCCUUGCCAUUAGUUGCUACGAAAGGGCACUCUAAUGGGACUGCCGGUGACAAACCGGAGGAAGGUGGGGAUGACUUCAAGUCCUCAUGGCCCUUAUAGGUGGGGCUACACACGUCAUACAAUGGCUGGUACAGAGGGUUGCCAACCCGCGAGGAGGAGCUAAUCCCAUAAAGCCAGUCGUAGUCCGGAUCGCAGUCUGCAACUCGACUGCGUGAAGUCGGAAUCGCUAGUAAUCGCGGAUCAGAAUGUCGCGGUGAAUACGUUCCCGGGUCUUGUACACACCGCCCGUCACACCAUGGGAGCGGGUUCUGCCAGAUGUAGGUAGCCUAACCGUAAGGAGGGCGC
rnacentral:rRNA from 1 species